AGGCAUUGGCAUUGUGGAGAUGAACUAGGCAGGCACUCUCCCUCAAGUACUUCCCAGCCCAGGGAAGGGGGCAGGACCACACCUGAGGGGUAUCCUAGAGAUUUGGACAGUAGGGUCAGAAUGAAGAGAGCUUGCUUGGACAGCUUUAUAUAGCAGAGUUGGUACAAGCAACUUAAGCCUUGAAGGGACUCCUGAGCAUCAUUCAAGGAAUUCUCUUGUCUCGAAGCCAGUAAGUCUCAAAGACAAAGGAUCCACCUGAUUUAACCCUGAGAGUCACAUCCAGCAAAGGGCCAGGCACAAACACAGCAUCACAUGAACCAGGACAGUGAGUCACUCGGGAUAUGGAUAGAUAAAGAGGAUCAGAAGUUUGAGGCCAUCCUCAGGCAUACAGCAUGUCUGAGGGCAGCCUGAGCCACACAAGCCUCUUACCAAAAAAUAGAUGAAGUCAAUGUCCCCACUCUACCCAAAAAUAGGCUGCCAAGCACACCCAAGAAUGUGUCCUGUGACCCCACAUUAGAAGACCUUGACACUCGGUAUGAUCGUAUCACGGAGCCUGAUCUAUACCCACGGAGGUCCCUAUCCAUCAUGGAGGCCCUCUCACUCACUCACUCACUCACUCACUCACUCACUCACUCACUCACUGUGUGACCUUGGGAAGCCACUAAACUGCUCUCAUCUCUCAUCUAUAAGAUGGACUAAUGGUUGCAUCUCGCCUGAGAGCUUGGGAGAAGGGUUACAAUUAAUAUGUACUGAAUGCUAUUGAUUAUAUAAAGUUCUUACAU